rnacentral:rRNA from 1 species
GGACGAAGACGUACCUGCAGGUGCGACAGCGUGGGGAGCAAACGGGAUUAGGUACCCGGGUAGUCCACGGCGUAAACGAUGUCGGCUUGGGGGUUGUGCCCUUGGGGCGUGGCUUCCGGAGCUAACGCGUUAAGUCGACCGCCUGGGGGGYACGGCCGCAAGGUUAAAACUCAAAUGAAUUGACGGGBGCCCGCACAAGCGGUGGAGCAUGUGGUUUAAUUCGAUGCAACGCGAAGAACCUUACCUGGUCUUGACAUCCACGGAAGUUUUCAGAGAUGAGAAUGUGCCUUCGGGAACCGUGAGACAGGUGCUGCAUGGCUGUCGUCAGCUCGUGUUGUGAAAUGUUGGGUUAAGUCCCGCAACGAGCGCAACCCUUAUCCUUUGUUGCCAGCGGUCCGGCCGGGAACUCAAAGGAGACUGCCAGUGAUAAACUGGAGGAAGGUGGGGAUGACGUCAAGUCAUCAUGGCCCUUACGACCAGGGCUACACACGUGCUACAAUGGCGCAUACAAAGAGAAGCGACCUCGCGAGAGCAAGCGAACCUCAUAAAGUGCGUCGUAGUCCGGAUUGGAGUCUGCAACUCGACUCCAUGAAGUCGGAAUCGCUAGUAAUCGUGGAUCAGAAUGCCACGGUGAAUACGUUCCCGGGCCUUGUACACACCGCCCGUCACACCAUGGGAGUGGGUUGCAAAAGAAGUAGGUAGCUUAACCUUCGGGAGGGCGCUUACCACUUUGUGAUUCAUGACUGGGGUGAAGUCGUAACAAGGUAACCGUAGGGGAACCUGCGGUUG